AGUCAAGUUGCGCUUUGCGGGUCUGGGGCAUCAUCACCUCGAGGCUGCGGAGACAGGGCAAACGAAAGAUAGGUGGACUAGCGAGCCUCCAAACAAACCAACACAGGAUCUGCAUUUACAUACUUCAAUACAAGCAGACGACGUGCUUUGGAUUCUGAUUUGAAAUUGGUUUGGGAAGUUGAAACGUGGCAAACUGGACGCCGACCAAGCUUAGUGAAUUAGCGGGCGAAAGCGUAUUGCUAAGUUAUUGGACACAGCUGGGGCAACGGCCGUUGGGAGUCAGAGGUGUAGCAGUUGGGCCUGUGUGCUCCUGAGAGGAUGAAGAGGUUUAGGAGACAUGGCCAAGAGUCCCAGAGAGAGCGGAUCAAACAGGAGCUCUACGGGUUCAACAAGACAGUGGAGCAUGGUUUUCCUCACCAACCCAGUGCUCUGGGCUUCAGCCCCAGUCUACAGCUCCUGGCCAUCGGCACACGCUCCGGAGCCAUCAAACUUUACGGUGGUCCAGGUGUAGAGUUCAUGGGUCUACAUGAUGAGAACGCUGCCGUCACACAGGUCCACUUCCUGCCACACCAGGUGGAGCUGGUGACUCUGUUGGAUGACAACAGUCUCCACAUGUGGACCCUCAGAGCCCACCAUGGUGUCUCUGAGCUGCUGGAGAUAGGACGCUUCACACUCUCUGGACCCCCGGGUGCUCCCCCCAGUGUAACUCAUGUAACAGCGGUGCUAGCCCACUCUUCUGGGGACCUGUUGUUGCUAGGAACAGAGGGAGGACACGUGUUUGUAGUGAAGGUACCAGGCUUCAGAGAACUAGAGGAGAGGAACAUCAGCCUGGAGAAAGUCACCAACAGUGUACCAGAGGAUUACGGAGGUCGUAGGAGCCUGGAGCAUGUCGAGUCCUUACAGGAGAAUCCCGUCAACCCACGCCAGGUUCUGAUUGGCUACGGACGAGGCCUCAUGGUCAUCUGGGACCUGGACAGCCAAUCAGCUGUCAAACACAUCCCCGCUACACAGCAACUGGAGAGCGUGUGGUGGACGGAGGACGGUGGCCAUGUUCUCAGUUCCCAUAGCGACGGCAGCUACUGCCGCUGGAAGGUGGCUGGGGAUGACCCACAGAGCGAGCAGGAGAAGUCUGAAGUACCGUAUGGCCACUUCCCCUGUAAAGCCAUCUCUAAAAUCAUCCAGCUGCCGACAGAACAGGGGCCUCCGUUCCUGUUCCUCAGUGGCGGCAUGCCCCGGGCCAGCUACGGCGACAGACACUGUAUCAGUGUGAUCCACAGUAAAACACACGUGGCUCUGGACUUCACCUCCAGAAUCAUCGACUUCUUUGUCAUCAGAGACGGACCAGACCAUACAGGCGAACCCAGUGCGUUGGUGGUCUUAGUAGAAGAGGAGUUGGUAGUGAUAGAUCUUCAGACUGAAGGGUGGCCAGUCAUCCAGACUCCAUACCUGGUGCCUCUCCACUGCUCUGCCAUCACCUGCUCCCACCAUGUCUCUGCUAUACCCCUGAAGCUGUGGGAGAGGGUCCUGUCUGCCGGGGCACUGCAGAACACACACUACUCUAAGAAGCCGUGGCCUAUGACAGGAGGACAGAACCUGGCCCCAGACCCCCCUCAGAGAGACUUACUGCUCACAGGGCACGAGGACGGUACGGUGCGUUUCUGGGACGCGUCGGGGGUGUGUCUGUACCCCAUGUACAAGCUGAGCACAGCAGGGGUGUUCCUCACUGACUCAGACCCCAAUGACAACCUGAACCAGGGCACAGAGGGAGAGUGGCCACCUUUCAGAAAGGUGGGUUGUUUUGACCCGUACAGUGACGACCCUCGUCUCGGCAUUCAGAAAAUCCACCUGUGUAAAUACAGCGGCUACCUGACUGUAGCUGGCACUGCUGGACAGAUCCUGGUGUUAGAGCUGAAUGAUGAGGCAGCAGAACAGACUGUGGAGGCCACCGUAGCAGACCUGCUUCAGGGACAGGAGGGCUUCCGCUGGAAGGGCCACACGCGUCUGGAGGUGAGGGAGGAGCCGGUGACGUUCCCCCCAGGUUUCCAGCCCUUUGCCCUGGUCCAGUGCCAGCCUCCGGCCGUGGUCACUGCCCUCACCCUGCACUCUGAGUGGAAACUAGUAACAUUCGGGACCAGCCACGGCUUCGGACUCUACGACUACCAGCAGAAAAACAACGUUCUCGUCAGGUGUACUCUGAACCCCAGUGACCAGCUGGCUAUGGAAGGUCCUCUGUCCAGAGUGAAGAGCAUUAAGAAGUCUCUCCGCCAGUCCUUCAGAAGGAUAAGGCGCAGCCGUGUGUCCCUACGCAAACACCAUGUCAACAACGCAGCUAAGUUGCAGCAGGCCAAUGCUCGUCUAGAGGCGGAGCUAGCUGAGAUGGAGUUGGCGCCCGUCCAGAGAAAAAUAGAGCCUCGAUCCCCUGACGACUCCUUCACCGGCCUCGUGCGCACGCUAUACUUCGCUGAUACCUUCCUUUCAGACAGCUCCCACAACACACCCUCUCUGUGGGCAGGGACCAAUGGGGGAUCAGUAUUCGCCUACCAGCUCCGCCUACCGCCUGUGGAACGCAGAGGAGAGGACCCUGUCACAGCACACCCUGCUAAGGAGAUCCAGUUGAUGCACCGGGCUCCAGUAGUGGGCAUCUUGGUGUUGGACGGCCAUGGUUCCCCUCUGCCUGAGCCCCUGGAGGUGGCACACGACCUGGCUCGCUCACCUGACAUGCAGGGUUCACACAGCCUACUGGUCAUAUCAGAGGAACAGUUCAAGGUGUUCACCCUGCCUAAGGUGAGCGCCAAAACGAAGUUGAAGCUGACGGCCAUUGACGGCUCACGCGUGCGCCGGGUGGGCGUGGCCUGGUUCGGCAGCACCCGUACGGAUGACUACGGCGAGAGCGGCCUCACCGUCCUGACCAAUCAGGGAGACCUCCACGUGGUGUCGUUGCCGGGGGUGAAAUUACAGGUCCAGUACCCCUGUAUACGUAGGGAGGACGUCAGCGGCAUUGCAUCCUGCGUCUUCACCAAGCAUGGACAAGGUUUCUACCUGAUCUCUCCGUCAGAGUUUGAGCGUUUCUCUCUGUCUGCUCGCUGUGUGGUGGAGCCCCGGUCUCUAGUGGAGGUGUCCUCUCAGACACCCAGCACCACUCUGCCACGGGCGCCGCCGGACGGGGCCUCUGUGGAGCGCAGAAAUUCUACGAGGGAUGGCGUGGAGAGCUCUAGACGUGUGAUGGAGCAUGCUUUGCUGAAUGACGAGAGUGAGUACCUCAGGAACCACCAGACAACCUUAACAGAACUUAACCUUAACCAACUCCCAACAUUUGUGCGAGUGAUCCCUGCGGGGUUUGAACCCACAAUCUUGACGUUGCUAGCGCCGUGCUCUUACCAACUGAGCCACAUCGAUAUGUGUCUGCUUUGACUGUCCUGUUUGGCAUCCGGAUGUGUAAACCCGACCAGCAGUCUUGAGUGAUUGUCUGCUACACAGUGAACCACAACCACCCCAUUGCAUGUUUCAUGAUGACCAUCCCCAACUCAUUGCAACUCAUGUCAAUCAUCAUUGUGCAUCUGUGGUCUGACGUGUGUUUUCUUACAGCUGUGCUUCAGGAGAUCCAGAAAUCUCUAGAAGUAGAUCAGACGACAUUCCUGGAGAAUGGGACGAGUGCUCUCGCUGGAGGGAAGGUGCUGAGCAAUUGAGACUGAGCCAGUCAUCCCUGUGCCUGAGACAUCGUGGAGUCUGCCUAGUGACUCCUGUCUCCUGCCUCGCAAUCUACACAAACACUACUAUUACUACCACUACUGACCACUUGGGCCCCUAGCCCCCGGAGACUCACCCCUGACCCCUAGCAUGAGCGGCUGAACCCUGGCCCCUAACCCCAAAGACUGGCUUUGUCACAAAUGGCACUCUAUUCCCCAAGUAGUGCACUGCUUUUAACCAAAGCCCAUUAAAGGGGGUUGGUGUAGUGUAUGAGGAACAGGGUGUCAUUUGAGGCCCACCGCUAUAGAGAGAGGGAGGGACCACCGCCUGUGCCUAGGGACCAACCACUGUACUGUAAUACCCCUGCUACGCUUGGUACCUCUACACCUGCCACACAUUAGUAAUGAUCGUAUGGUCAUUCCGCUGACGCGCUUAUCCAAAGCCACUUACAGUUCUCACACACAAGCCGUACUUGCAUUAAACACACCCUAGUCACUCACCCACCCCCUCCUCACGUUCCCUCCUCAUCCCAACCCCAGUCACGGCAUUCAGCCUUUCACCCUUGAACUCAAGCUGGCCUGUGAAACUCUGAUUCGUCCAGUAACAGCCCUGCCUCUGCACAUCCUCGCUUGCCUUAGUCUCCUAGAGAGAGACACAUAGGGGGGAGGGG